rnacentral:tRNA from 1 species
UUGGGGAUCGUCUAGCGGUAGGACGUCAGUCUCUGGAUCUGACUACCUACGGUUCGAUUCCUAGUCCCCCAGCCA